CCAGAACCAAGAGAUACCGUUGUUGAAAGUUUUGAUUUAUUUAUGUUUUACUCAGAAGUUACAUAUAGAAACAGAGUUUAGGGGUCUUCUGGCGGGCCGUCCCGUUUUACCGGGAGCGGGCUGAUCCGCCGAGGCAACAAGUGGUAUGUUCACAGGGGUUUGGGAGUUGUGAUUUGGGUAAUGAUCCCUGGUUAUGAUCCCUGGAGAGUUAAGUUCAGCGAGUAUUCGGGUUUCAUCCCCGUUAAACCUUCACAAUUUUGGUUUAGCGGCUUGGCCGCGUCCCUGUACAACAGGGAGGGUUUCCAUAGUACCCUUUAAAAUCAGGUUGUAAACGUAAAUUAUUAGGAAAAACAUAAAUAAACCAAAACUUUCACCAACGGAUCUCUUGGUUGUGGCAUCGAUGAAGAACCCAGCAAAAUGCGAUAAGUAAUGUGAAUUGCAGAAUUCAGUGAAUCAUCGAAUCUUUGAACGCACAUUGCGCCCGCCAGUAUUCUGGCGGGCAUGCCUGUUCGAGCGUCAUUUCAACCCUCAAGCACAGCUUGGUGUUGGGACUCGCGUUAAUUCGCGUUCCUCAAAUUGAUUGGCGGUCACGUCGAGCUUCCAUAGCGUAGUAGUAAAACCCUCGUUACUGGUAAUCGUCGCGGCCACGCCGUUAAACCCCAACUUC
rnacentral:rRNA from 1 species